CCUGGUCGUAAAAUUGGAGUCAUGCUAAGACCUUCAUUAUUUGCCAACAACUCAUGACAACUGCUAUAGUAGUUCCUGCACCAUUCUACCCCUUGAGCGGGUCUGAAACAGUCCCACAGGGCACAUUUUGGAGCUAAGAAAGCAGAUGGUGGAGGGCAGAUAUUUGGAAGAAUGUUAGGUGAUUUGCCAGAACCUUCCAAUACUGCCGCAGGAUUAGAGAACCUGGUCGAAGUUUCAUCUGGU
rnacentral:sRNA from 1 species